rnacentral:rRNA from 1 species
AUUGAACGCUGGCGGCAGGCCUAACACAUGCAAGUCGAGCGGAUGAAGGGAGCUUGCUCCUGGAUUCAGCGGCGGACGGGUGAGUAAUGCCUAUGAAUCUGCCUGGUAGUGGGGGAUAACGUCCGGAAACGGGCGCUAAUACCGCAUACGUCCUGUGGGAGAAAGUGGGGGAUCUUCGGACCUCACGCUAUCAGAUUAGCCUAGGUCGGAUUCGCUAGUUGGUGGGGUAAAGGCCUACCAAGGCGACGAUCCGUAACUGGUAUGAGAGGAUGAUCAGUCACACUGGAACUGAGACACGGUCCAGACUCCUACGGGAGGCAGCAGUGGGGAAUAUUGGACGAUGGGCGAAAGCCUGAUCCAGCCAUGCCGCGUGUGUGAAGAAGGUCUUCGGAUUGUAAAGCACUUUAAGUUGGGAGGAAGGGCAGUAAGUUAAUACCUUGCUGUUUUGACGUUACCAACAGAAUAAGCACCGGCUAACUUCGUG